rnacentral:ncRNA from 2 species
CCUAUGGGUGGCGAUGGAGUUCGCCAUCAACCGCCCACAGGGCUGAUGACUCCUACCAGUUC